CAGCAGCCGCGGUAAUACGGGGGGAGCAAGCGUUGUUCGGAUUUACUGGGCGUAAAGGGCGCGUAGGCGGCCAGCACAAGUCAGUUGUGAAAUCUCCGAGCUUAACUCGGAAAGGUCAACUGAUACUGUGCGGCUAGAGUGCAGAAGGGGCAACUGGAAUUCUUGGUGUAGCGGUGAAAUGCGUAGAUAUCAAGAGGAACACCUGCGGCGAAGGCGGGUUGCUGGGCUGACACUGACGCUGAGGCGCGAAAGCUAGGGGAGCGAACGGGAUUAGAUACCCCGGUAGUCCUAGCCUUAAACGAUGAAUGCUUGGUGUCUGGGGUUAUAAAGUCCCCGGGUGCCGUCGCUAACGCUUUAAGCAUUCCGCCUGGGGAGUACGGUCGCAAGACUGAAACUCAAAGGAAUUGACGG
rnacentral:rRNA from 1 species